rnacentral:rRNA from 1 species
CCUACGGGAGGCAGCAGUGAGGAAUAUUGGUCAAUGGGCGGAAGUCUGAACCAGCCAUGCCGCGUGCAGGAAGACGGCUCUAUGAGUUGUAAACUGCUUUUGUACAGGGGUAAACCUGAAUACGUGUAUUCAUCUGGAAGUACUGUACGAAUAAAGAUCGGCUAACUCCGUGCCAUCCGCCGCGGUAAUACGGAGGAUCCAAGCGUUAUCCGGAUUUAUUGGGGUUAAAGGGUGCGUAGGCGGAUUGAUCAGGUAGAGGUGAAAUGUCUGAGCUUAACCCGGGAACUGCCUCUGAUACUGUUGAUCUAGAGAGUAUAUGCGGUAGGCGGAAUGCAUGGUGUAGCGGUGAAAUGCUUAGAGAUCAUACAGAACACCGAUUGCGAAGGCAGCUUACCAAUCUAUAUCUGACGUUGAGGCACGAAAGCGUGGGGAGCAAACAGGAUUAGAUACCCUAGUAGUC